rnacentral:lncRNA from 1 species
UUAUUUAAGACGGGCAGAACCACUCCCUAGAAGCUGACAGUCAUCCUCACGUGUUUGCUGCUGAAAUAAAUGUCCCCAGAUUGCACACUUCUCCGGCACAGUGGCUCUCUUGUUCAUUGUUAUGUCCCUAGUGCUUAGGACAACACCUGGCACUAAAUGAAGGUGAGCACCUAUUUUAAAAACCAAGCUGUGUCCCAUCCCACGUCGACCUUGGUGAAGUCCGAGUACGCUUGUAUCCAACGGGUUCAGCUGUCCUGGAGGACUGAAAGUCCCGGUUAGCAUUAGGUUAGCACGUAGACAAGCCAGAAAAGAAUGUGUGUGACACAGCAUGUCUGUUCAUUUCCUCAAGCCUGCGGAGCCAAAAUGAGACUGUAAACAAGGACUGGCUCCUGCCCACGCCCAAAAGAAUAACAAGAGAGAAAUCUGGCAGUGCGGGCAGAGUUAUAAGUGCAAUCAAAACGCAGCAGCACCCAUAGUCAUAAUUGCCCAGGAGAAAGGAGAGAAAGCAGCACUGGGCAGUCCCUGAACCAGACCUGAGUUCCUGUUUGCAAGACAGCAAAGCCACCUUCAUCAUCUUCAAGUUCUUUCGGGAAGUCCCAGGAAGGAGACUCUAAAAACAUUGCAGAGGGUGAGCCCAGGAAGGGUUAACUGUGGUUUUUCUGGUUUUGUGACCUCGCGUAGGUAGACACACUGACACAGACUGAACCCGAUCUGUCUAGCCCGCGACAACCCAGUGACCCAAG